ACCCUCAAUGGCUCAGUAGCCAGUGUAGAUCCUGUCUUUUGUAAUCAGUAGCUACAUCUGGCUACUGGGUCUCUGAUGGCAUCU
rfam:Ailuropoda melanoleuca scaffold1095_14, whole genome shotgun sequence.